UGGGGCUACACACGUCAUACAAUGGCCGGUACAGAGGGUAGCCAACCCGCGAGGGGGAGCCAAUCCCACAAAGCCGGUCGUAGUCCGGAUCGCAGUCUGCAACUCGACUGCGUGAAGUCGGAAUCGCUAGUAAUCGCAGAUCAGCAUGCUGCGGUCGAAUACGUUCCCGGGCCUU
rnacentral:rRNA from 1 species